rnacentral:rRNA from 1 species
AACGAACGCUGGCGGCGCGCCUAAUACAUGCAAGUCGAACGAGAAGGUGUAGCAAUACACUUGUAAAGUGGCGAACGGGUGAGGAAUACAUGGGUGACCUACCCUCGAGUGGGGAAUAACCAGCCGAAAGGUUGGCUAAUACCGCGUACGCUUCCCAGUCUACGGGUUGGGAAGGAAAGCGAUGCCGUGGGUAUCGCGCUCAAGGUUGGGCUCAUGUCCUAUCAGCUUGUUGGGAGGUAACGGCUCACCAAGGCAACGACGGGUAGCUGGUCUGAGAGGACGAUCAGCCACACUGGCACUGCGACACGGGCCAGACUCCUACGGGAGGCAGCAGUGGGGAAUAUUGCGCAAUGGGCGAAAGCCUGACGCAGCGACGCCGCGUGU